rnacentral:misc_RNA from 1 species
CCCUUGUGGAGGAGGACGCCGAAGGUGGGGCUAAUGACUGGGGUGAAGUCGUAACAAGGUAGCCGUACCGGAAGGUGCGGCUGGAUCACCUCCUAACAGGGAGACAACAAAAUGUUAAAUAUUAAUUUUGUCACCUUAGGUCGAUCGGUAUCUCACAUUCUUAAUUUAUUUAAGGAUUUUAUUUCCUAAGUUUUUUCUAGGUCACACCCAUUUUUUCCCUGGGCCAUUAGCUCAGGUGGUUAGAGCGCACCCCUGAUAAGGGUGAGGUCCCUGGUUCAAGUCCAGGAUGGCCCAUAUCUCUAUGUUGGGGGUAUAGCUCAGUUGGUAGAGCGCCUGCUUUGCAAGCAGGAUGUCAGCGGUUCGAGUCCGCUUACCUCCACUGAUCACCACCUCUUCCAUAAUUUAAAGAAGGGAAAAUUUUGAGUUGUGAUCAAAUUCUGAACGAAUCUAGCUUCCUAAUAUUUUCAUUAAGAUGCUGGACUCAUUGAAUUAAUUUCAUUGUUUUCAGAGAACCUUGACAACUGCAUAGAUUAUUUUUAAAGACAAUAAGCAUCUUUAAUGAUGCAGAUUUAUUAUUGGUGCGAAUGCAUUAAUAACAAUUCUAUUAAGCUGAUGCUUCAAUUUUUGAAGUUAUUGGUCAAGCUACAAAGGGCUCACGGAGGAUACCUAG